GACCUCUCCAUCCCUCGGUUUCCUCAUCUAUGAAAUGGGCAUUAUUAUUUAUGGUACCCAUAAAUGUGGAGAUUACAUAUUCAUAUACUUGGCUUAGAAUUUAGUUUAUCUAGUGCCUAGAACAAUAGCUGGCUUAAAGAGAUCAGAUGGUAUUAUCAUUAUGACCCUGGAAAUGAAGGCUUGGAUUGUAUUUAAGUUGGAUCCAUUCCAGUGAUGACAGCUGUGCUAACGUCACCUCUCUGGUGGCUUUGUCCCCAAGAUUCGAGAUUACGGUGAGCCCUUUCAGGAAGCAAUGUGGUUGGACCUGGUUAAGGAAAGGCUGAUUACGGAAAUGUACACGGUGGCAUGGUUUGUGCGAGACAUGCGCCUGAUGUUUCGCAACCAUAAAACAUUUUACAAGGCUUCUGACUUUGGCCAGGUAGGACUUGACUUAGAGGCAGAAUUUGAAAAAGAUCUCAAAGACGUGCUCGGUUUUCAUGAAGCCAAUGACGGCGGUUUCUGGACUCUUCCUUGACCCUGUUCUGUAAAGACUGAAGCAUCCCCACCUCAGGAUUCAGCUGAUGGGACCCUGGCUUGGACUGUUGAUUGCCAGUGAGUCUGGGAUGUAAUUGGCUGCCCUCAGGACCCAACUCCAGACACUUCAUAGGAUUAUCACACCCUCCAUCUUUAUUCUUUCUUUUUACCUUUAAAAGUC
rnacentral:lncRNA from 1 species